UGGGGAAUAUUGGACAAUGGGCGAAAGCCUGAUCCAGCCAUGCCGCGUGUGUGAAGAAGGUCUUCGGAUUGUAAAGCACUUUAAGUUGGGAGGAAGGGCAGUAAGCGAAUACCUUGCUGUUUUGACGUUACCGACAGAAUAAGCACCGGCUAACUCUGUGCCAGCAGCCGCGGUAAUACAGAGGGUGCAAGCGUUAAUCGGAAUUACUGGGCGUAAAGCGCGCGUAGGUGGUUCGUUAAGUUGAAUGUGAAAGCCCCGGGCUCAACCUGGGAACUGCAUCCAAAACUGGCGAGCUAGAGUAGGGCAGAGGGUGGUGGAAUUUCCUGUGUAGCGGUGAAAUGCGUAGAUAUAGGAAGGAACACCAGUAGCGAAGGCGACCACCUGGGCUCAUACUGACACUGAGGUGCGAAAGCGUGGUGAGCAAACAGG
rnacentral:rRNA from 1 species